rnacentral:rRNA from 1 species
UGGUGGAGCGAUUUGUCUGGUUAAUUCUGAUAACGAACGAGACUCUGGCCUAUUAAAUAGUUCGCCGAUUCCGAUCUGUCGGCGUUAACUUCUUAGAGGGACAAGUGGCUUUUAGCCACGCGAGAUUGAGCAAUAACA